rnacentral:rRNA from 1 species
AACGAACGCUGGCGGCAUGCCUAACACAUGCAAGUCGAACGAGACCUUCGGGUCUAGUGGCGCACGGGUGCGUAACGCGUGGGAACCUGCCCUUAGGUUCGGAAUAACUCCCCGAAAGGGGUGCUAAUACCGGAUAAUGUCUUCGGACCAAAGAUUUAUCGCCUUUGGAUGGGCCCGCGUUGGAUUAGCGGUGUGGUAGGGUAAAAGCCUACCAAGGCGACGAUCCAUGGCUGGUCGGAGAGGAUGAUCAGCCACACUGGGACUGAGACACGGCCCAGACUCCUACGGAGGGCAGCAGUGGGGUAUAUUGUACAAUGGGCGCAAGCCUGAUCCAGCAAUGCCGCGUGAGUGAUGAAUGCCUUAGGGUUGUAAAGCUCUUUUACCCGGGGUGAUAAUGACAGUACCGGGUGAAUAAGCUCCGGCUAACUCCGUG